rnacentral:lncRNA from 1 species
AAAAUUAAUUAAUUAUAAAAGAGGACAAAGUGGGCAUUUUUAAUUUUGAGAAAGGGCAAAAUGAUCAAUCCUGAGAAUGAGAGACUCAUUCCCACCUCCCCCAUUGGAAUCAAUAUCCCAUUCCCCAUUCCCAAAUAGUGGUGGGCCCCACCAUUCCGAUUUUGAUUCCUACUUCAUAUUUACGAAGUAAACGUCGUCAGUUAUUUCGAUUUCAGAUUCCGAUUCCCCAAUCCUCAAAGUAAAUACACCAUAACUGUAUUAAUAUUUUGGUAGAUGAUUGAUUCAUAUUACAAAGGUAGAAAUUUGAAUAAAUUCAAAAUUAUGGUGCAAAUAGACCUAUCCUUAAUUUCAUUCAUAUACACUUUUUUUUUUAAUUCUUCUUUGAAAUCUCAACAUCAUAGUGUAUAUCAUUUUUUUCAAUUAUUUAUUUGAUGAAAGAGCAUGUAAAACAGAUAUAAACAUGCAAAAUCUUGGAUUUGAUUGAAGGUUGCACUAAUAUAUAAAGCAAUUCAUAACGUAUUAAGGCUCCGUUUGGUACAACUUAUUAAAUAGAACUUAUAACAGUAGAGCUUAUAGCAGUAGAGUUUAUACUUAUAGAGCUUUUGGACAAAAAGUCAUUGGAUGUUUGGUUGUCAAUAAAUAAAAAUACUUUUAAACCAUUAAACUGUGUGAUAUUUUUUAUAUAAUAUAUUUUUAAAAAAGCUCUAUAACCUCUACUUCCAAAAGCUCAAAUUUUAGACUUUUGCUAGUAGAACUAAAUAAAUUAGCUUAUUUAAGCUAAAAAACUCUACUAAAAAAAUAACCAAACACCAUAAAAAAUUUUAAAAAAUACUUAUACGAUUAAAUAAGUAUUUAUGACUCUUAAAUAAGCCAUACCACACUGAGUGAACAAGGGGUGGGCAUUAAGGUUUUUGGUUUGCAAUCCGGGUUUAACAAUUCAACCCAAAUGGGUCAGAAAAUUAUUUUAGUUCAGUUCAGUGGGUUCAAUUUCGGUUGGCUUGGCUUCAUAAUUCGGUUCAAUUUCGGGUUGUUAAUUUCAGGUUGCAAUACAGUUUGGAUUACAAAAUGGUUUGGGUUUAUAAAUCGGGUUUGGGUUGAUACCGAUCAAUUAUAAUUUACUGCUCUCCUCCCAAUUACAUGCUCUUUGCUCUUCAAUUCCUUUGCUGCAAAUCAUUAACACACAGCCCCAACAAACUAAAUUCCUGUUUUAGUGCUAUUUUUGAUUUGUGGCAGUAAGGGAAUGUCUACAACAAAAUCGUCGAAAGUAGAAUUUGGAGUUUCAAUUGAGAAUAGGAUUAGCCGAUUAGCUAUACGUCAUAGUCAUUCUUGGGCAAGAAUUAUAAUAUUGUAUCAUAUAACCAACCGAAUUCUAAUGCUUUGUUUCUCUACAUAAAACGUACACACGUGCACACUAUAGAGUAUAUACACAGGCUGUGAGGAGCUAACUUAUCAUGAAGAGUUGACGGCGGGUUGCGACGAUGAGCUGAAGUCGUGGCCAAUCUGAAGUCGGGGGCUGCGAUGGUGAUUUGAGAGAGAAAGGAGUUGUGAGCCGAAAUCGUUGGUUGCGACGGCAAUUUGAGAGAGGGAGAGGGAGAAGGAGAGAGAGAGAGAGAGAGAGAGAGAGUCGUGAGCUGAAGCUGUUGGCUGCAACUAUAAGUUAAGCUAACGUGGAGCGGCGUAGACGAACUGCCAAACCGAGAAGGAUAACCGUACGAGAGAGGAUGCGGCUGUUAGGGUUUGUUCUGUUUUGUGAAUUUGGAAAUUUGGGGAUCGAAGUAAUGGGUUAAGACAACGAGACGCGGUAUGCGUGGAGGAUGAUCGACAGCUGUUAGGGUUUGAAUUUGGGUUGGGGUUAGCUGAUUGGGUUUGGGGCUUAGUUUUGUCUUUGUGAAAUUGUUUUGUGAUCUAGUUUUCGUGCUGGACUGCUGCACCUAGUGGCCUAGUGCAGUGUGCUUACUUUUUGCCGUUUUCAUGCGUUUAACCCGAACGCCCACCCCUUUUAAUGAACAAACAAACCUCCCUAUAUAUUAUCAAAGAAAUUAUAACGUAAUUGCUUUGAUUAGAAUUAGAAGUUAUUGAUCGUAAUGAGUUAGUAAUUAAAUAAAAAUUAAAUAAUUAUGACAUACUGUAAGACUAAACACUGGUCUAUGUAGAUCUGUUCUUAAAAUAGAAAAAAAUUAAGAGUUUUAAGAAUUAUAAUAUGGAUCAGUUUUUAAAAUAAGUCUUUAUUAGGUAGAAGAUACUUGUUGAUCAUAAUAGUGGAUGAAGUAAUUAAAUUUUUUGUAUAGAUUUUUAAAUUUGUAAAUUUACAUACAUGAUGAAAUCUAGCUUUUUUUAUUCCCUUAAAUUAAUGAUGAAAUCAAGCUCAUUUCGUCCUUGAAUUGCAAAUUCACUUAGUUUAGUCUUUGUUGUUCUAAGAUUUUGAAAAGAGUGAUGAUAUCUUCACCCCACAUUUUUUUUAUAAAUCCACCCCAUUUUUAAAACAUAAUUAUUAAAACUGCACAUUAUUUUUAAAAUUUUCAAAUCAAGAAGAACUUUGGAGAAUUAAUUAAUCAAAUUUAUCUUAAUUCACUUUUUUGUUACUUAGAUUUUUUAAGUAUAUUUGAUUACAAAGAUUGCUUUGAUAUAAGUUUAAAUUGACUAUUUCACUCUUACAAAGUAAAAUUAUCAAGAAUUUACUUUAACUUCAAUAUUUUUCUAAUUUGUACCAAACUCAUUGUUUCUAAUACUACUUUAUUAAUAUGAUUAUUAUUUUUUAAUUAAAUUAACAUAGUGUUUUUAUGGCACAAUUCUCAUAUCAAUUAUUAGAUUGUCAAAUUUAUGUUAUUUACACAUAAUGGUAGUGAAAUAAUAAUUAGGUUUCAUUUAAAAAUAUUAGAUUAUAAGUCGCAAAAUUAUAUACUUAAAUUAUUAGAUACAAUAACUAGAUACAAUAACUCAUGUUUUAUGAGGAUAAUUUUAUCUUUUUAUAUUAUAAUAAUAAAAUAAUAAAAUAAAAUAUAUAUUAAAUUUUAUGAUAAAAAUGGUCAAAAAACCUAAGAAAAAAAUUAAUAGAAGGAUUUAAUUGAUUAAUUGUACAAAUUUUUUAUUAAUAUAUAUUUUUUAAGAAUAUUGUGAACUCAUUAUAAUUAUUUUCUAAAAUUGAGUGAAUUUACAAAAAUAGUGGGGUGAAAAUAUCCCCAUCCCUUUGAAAAUUCCCAACCCCGAUACUGGAUCAUAACCCUUCAUCAAGUAUAUUUAUUUGCCCCUGUAGGCCAUAUGCUGCGAGUUUAUGGGUUAAUUUGUUACUAGCAGUUAGUGUAAUUUAGGAAGACCCAUUAUAGUGGGUCCUUGUUAAGUUGUUAUCAAUACGCCGGUAAAUGAAUAAAAUUAUUUCAUUACCCCUAAUGUUAUUAAUUCUACUUUACAAAUGUGAUUAUAAAUACAUAAUUGAACUAAAAAGUAUUUAUUUCCGGUGGUGAUAUCUCAUGAAAUAUAUUGUUGAACAUCAUAGGAUUUAUUCAGAAGCAUUAAAUUAUAUAAGUUGUAAACUAAAUAACUGAAAUAUUAUGGUACAAAAACAGACUUUUUUUUAAUAGUUUGAGCACUUUAUUUUGUAAGGAUAAAAUAGUUAAAUUAUCUUUACUUUACCAACUUUAACGGUUAAUGAUGCUCAAAGAACCUAAGUAACAAAAAAAAGGGAAAAAUGUUGAUAUUAUUGAAUUAAACUAAACUCAUUUGGUUUAAUUCGAAUUCAAUUUUAGUUUGAUUUCAAAAGUUUAAAACCAAUCAGUUUGAAUAUAGUUUAAUUUGGUUGAGUUUUGAAUAAGAAAAGCAAAAUCAUUAAAAAAAUAUUGACAUUCAAUCUUAGUUUUAAACCAAUUAGGUUUGGUUGAGUUUAUUUGUUUGUUUGUUUUUUAACAAAUGGCACCGCUAGUGAAUUUCUAAAAAACUAAAAGAAAAAAAUGAUGUAAAUUGAUAAUUAGUCCCACACUUUUUGAUAUUAUCACAUAAAAGUCUAGAUAAGGAAAUAUGAUUUAAAUUUUAAUUCAGAAUUUUUAAAUGUGAACAAGUCUAAAAAAAUUUUAAAACUGUGCCAUUCUCUUUUACGUUCAAUUUUUAUAUACAUUUACGACAUGUUAUCAACACAAAUUUGCUGAACUAAGAGGGUAAUACCGAGACAUCGAGGUGAUACUAUUGCUGAGAUGUACAGGAUUGUUUUGGUUGCUGGCCAUGAUAUGAUGACCUGUUUAUAAGAAUUCUAAUUUAUAAAUGGUUGGUUUUAUAAUAUGGCCUAAAAUUAUUUUGUUUCAAUAUGGCCGGUUUAAUUACUUAAUUUGGAUAAAAUGAAGACUUAUUUUCCAGUGAGUGCCGAUCUGCCCGGAAAAGCAGCUCGUCUGUGCCGCUUGCGCAUGAAUGACAUGAAGAAGAGAAAUUAUUGGGUCCACAUAUUUUUCGUAUUUGUAAAUAUGGCCUUUAACUUUGUAGCUUUUUAUAUAAGUCCUGGACUGAAAAGUGAAAUCAUGACGCGUGAAUCGUGAUUUGUAAAAACCUCCCCGAGGUUUGAGGCUGUUAAAAGUAAACAACCAACAGGCCAAGAUUGUUUUAUUUUAAAAAAAAUCUCCUAUCUUCAAUUAAUUUUUUUAUUAACCAAUAGUUGACUUUAAAAAGAUAAUACUACCCCUAGUAAUAGUUUAUAGGCCUGACAGAACUACAAAAAAAAAAAAAUGGAGAUUCUUAGCGCGAAAAUCACAAUUCUAUUUUUUUGACAUUUUUAAUUUCAAAUAUUUACAAUAUUGUAAGUAAAUAAAAUGACUACUUUAUCCCCUUUAAAUCAUUGAUAUUUUCUAAAGAAUAAAUGUUCGCUUAGUCCGUACAUGUUGAUUUAAAUGCCGGUUUAGUCCGCACAUAUAUUAAAAUAAUAACUCAAAACACUCCUGUAGUUAAAUAUAUUAUGUUUUUACCUACACUUUUUCUUUUCUUUUUCAUUAAUACCCUUCCAACAAGAAUACAUUAAUUAAUUUAUC